CCUACGGGAGGCAGCAGUAGGGAAUCUUCCACAAUGGGCGAAAGCCUGAUGGAGCACCGCCGCGUGGGUGAAGAAGGUCUUCGGAUCGUAAAACCCUGUUGUUAGAGAAGAAAGUGCGUGAGAGUAACUGUUCAUGUUUCGACGGUAUCUAACCAGAAAGCCACGGCUAACUACGUGCCAGCAGCCGCGGUAAUACGUAGGUGGCCAGCGUUAUCCGGAUUGAUUGGGCGUAAAGGGAACGCAGGCUGUCUUUAAAGUCUGAUGUGAAAGCCUUCGGCUUAACCGGAGUAGUGCAUUGGAAACUGGGAGAGUUGAGUGCAGAAGAGGAGAGUGGAA
rnacentral:rRNA from 1 species